UAACGAUGUCCUGGAUACGUUUAAUGC
rnacentral:piRNA from 1 species